rnacentral:rRNA from 1 species
CUGUAGAAUUGCCAUUGAUACUGAAUUUCUUGAAUCUAAUUGAAGUGGGCGGAAUAUGACAUGUAGCGGUGAAAUGCUUAGAUAUGUCAUAGAACACCGAUAGCGAAGGCAGCUCACUAAGUUAGUAUUGACGCUCAUGCACGAAAGCGUGGGGAGCGAACAGGAUUAGAUACCCUGGUAGUCCACGCUGUAAACGAUGAUUACUCGCUAUUGGCGAUACACUGUCAGUGGCUAAGCGAAAGUGAUAAGUAAUCCACCUGGGGAGUACGAUCGCAAGGUUGAAACUCAAAGGAAUUGACGGGGGCCCGCACAAGCGGUGGAGCAUGUGGUUUAAUUCGAUGAUACGCGAGGAACCUUACCAGGACUUAAAUGCAUAACGAUCGGUUGAGAAAUCAACUUUUCUUCGGACGGUAUGCAAGGUGCUGCAUGGUUGUCGUCAGCUCGUGCCGUGAGGUGUCAGGUUAAGUCCUAUAACGAGCGCAACCCCUAUUCUUAGUUGCCAGCGGUUCGGCCGGGGACUCUAAGAAAACUGCCAGCGCAAGCUGUGAGGAAGGUGGGGAUGACGUCAAAUCAUCACGGCCCUUACGUCCUGGGCCACACACGUGCUACAAUGGUAGGUACAAAGGGCAGCCACUUGGCGACAAGGAGCUAAUCUCUAAAACCUAUCUCAGUUCGGAUUGGAGUCUGCAACUCGACUCUAUGAAGCUGGAAUCGCUAGUAAUCGCGCAUCAGCCAUGGCGCGGUGAAUACGUUCCCGGGCCUUGUACACACCGCCCGUCAAGCCAUGGAAGCUGGGGGUACCUGAAGUCGGUAACCAUAUAGGAGCUGCCUAGGGUAAAACUAGUGACUGGGGCUAAGUCGUAACAAGGUAACCGUA